AUUGAACGCUGGCGGAAUGCUUUACACAUGCAAGUCGAGCGGCAGCACGGGGGCAACCCUGGUGGCGAGCGGCGAACGGGUGAGUAACACAUCGGAACAUGCCCAGUCGUGGGGGAUAACACUUCGAAAGAAGUGCUAAUACCGCAUACGUCCUGAGGGAGAAAGCGGGGGAUCGCAAGACCUCGCGCGAUUGGAGUGGCCGAUGUCAGAUUAGCUAGUUGGUGGGGUAAAGGCCUACCAAGGCAACGAUCUGUAGCUGGUCUGAGAGGAUGAUCAGCCACACUGGGACUGAGACACGGCCCAGACUCCUACGGGAGGCAGCAGUGGGGAAUUUUGGACAAUGGGGGCAACCCUGAUCCAGCCAUUCCGCGUGAGUGAAGAAGGCCUUCGGGUUGUAAAGCUCUUUCGGCAGGAACGAAACGGUGAGCUCUAACAUAGCUUGCUAAUGACGGUACCGGAAGAAGAAGCACCGGCUAACUACGU
rnacentral:rRNA from 1 species